UCUCCCACCUUCAACGUUCUCGAGUCAAUAGUCCCAACGUCUCCUGCCAUCACCCUGUCUUCGGCUCUCAACUCGACACCAUUGGCGGCAAAGGAAAAUUGGAUUAUCGCCGCCGGAAUUUAUUUUACAGAUACCAUGGUUGAGCAAGUUAAGAAGGAAAUAGGAAAAACAUAAAUUUUAAAGGGCAUGCUACUUUCACCAAUGUAAAGAACACGCCGAUUAACGAUCGGAUCCAGUUUUAAGUACUGCAAUAGCAUCAACACCUGAUGUUUGAGACUAUAUGAGGUUAAGUGCAUAAUGGUUAUACAAUUUUUCUCUCUUUUCUUAGCAUAAAGGUGCAACACAUGUUCUGCUGUAUUAUUGCAUAUUUAUGUGCAGAUAGGUUCAUCCGCUAGCUGAAAGAUUUCGUGUUGAUGAAUUGGUGAUUGGAUUGCCUCAACUAAGAUGAAGGGACACAACUGCUAUAGACAAAGGCAUUUGCGAGGACUUGAGAUAUCUCGGACAGGGAUAAGGGCAACGUAAAACUACUGAGCUUCCUCCCUCGAUGAUGGCAUUCAUAAAUUGAAGGAAGAAUGAGGAGAUCAAGGUGAUCAUAGAUGCCAAAAAUAUCAUUCUCGCAGUAAAAGUGCCGGACGUUAGCGACAUCAAUCAAAGGCAUCAAUGGGUUGGACUUGCCUAACAUAUUUGAAGGCAUUUAAAAAUUUUGCAGAAAGCAAAUUGGUUGGAUAGUCUAGUAGCUUAUCUUCGUAUUUAGAUGUGUGACCAUUUUCAUCUAUGUUUUGUAGGUGAAUGUUUUAUAUGACAUGGUCUCAUCUCAUGGUGCAUAACAUGAAGCUUUUCUUGACAGACAUGAAACUAGAUUUUGCUAAUGAAGAAUCUGAAGAACAAAGAACUUCCGGCUUCAGAAUUAUAUAUUGCAGCUGCUUCUAUAUAGAAAUGAGAACCAAAUUAAGAGGAGCUGAAUAUAUGUGUUGAGGGUGAUUAUUGCUUUGCUGGGAUUUUUUCUCUGAAUUCGCAACUUUUCUGAAAUUAAAAAAAUGCAGUUGAUAAUUGA